rnacentral:rRNA from 1 species
UACGAAGGGGGCUAGCGUUGCUCGGAAUUACUGGGCGUAAAGGGCGCGUAGGCGGGUCGUUUAGUUAGAGGUGAAAGCCCAGGGCUCAACCCUGGAAUUGCCUUUAAUACUGGCGGCCUUGAGUAUGGCAGAGGUGUGUGGAACUCCGAGUGUAGAGGUGAAAUUCGUAGAUAUCCGCAAGAACACCAGUGGCGAAGGCGGCUCACUGGCCCGAUACUGACGCUGAGGCACGAAAGCGUGGGGAGCAAACAGG